rnacentral:rRNA from 1 species
GAUGAACGCUGGCGGCGUGCCUAAUACAUGCAAGUAGAACGCUGAAGGAAGGAGCUUGCUCUUUCCGGAUGAGUUGCGAACGGGUCAGUAACGCGUAGGUAACCUGCCUGGUAGCGGGGGAUAACUAUUGGAAACGAUAGCUAAUACCGCAUAACAGUAGAUGUUGCAUGAUAUCUACUUAAAAGGUGCAAUUGCACCACUACCAGAUGGACCUGCGUUGUAUUAGCUAGUUGGUGAGGUAACGGCUCACCAAGGCGACGAUACAUAGCCGACCUGAGAGGGUGAUCGGCCAAACUGGGAAGGGGACACGGCCCAGACUCCUACGGGAGGCAGCAGUAGGGAAUCUUCGGCAAUGGACGGAAGUCUGGCCGAGCAACGCCGCGGGAGUGAAGAAGGUUUUCGGAUCGUAAAGCUCUGUUGUAAGAGAAGAACGAGUGUGAGAGUGGAAAGUUCACACUGUGACGGUAGCUUACCAGAAAGGGACGGCUAACUACGUG